rnacentral:rRNA from 1 species
CUCAGAAUAACGCUGGCGGCAUGCUUAACACAUGCAAGUCGUACGAGAAAGUCUUCUUCGGAAGGCGAGUAAAGUGGCGAACGGGUGAGUAACACGUAAGAAUCUACCCCUUGGUCUGGGAUAACAUCGCGAAAGUGGUGCUAAUACCGGAUAAUAUCCACGGAUCAAAGAGGGCUUUGCCCUCACCAGAGGAGGAGCUUGCGCCCCAUUAGCUAGUUGGUGAGGUAAUGGCUCACCAAUGCUCCGAUGGGUAGCCGGCCUGAGAGGGUGUACGGCCACACUGGAACUGAGACACGGUCCAGACUCCUACGGGAGGCAGCAGUGGGGAAUAUUGGUCAAUGGGCGAAAGCCUGAACCAGCAAUGCCGCGUGGGUGAUGAAGCUUCUAGGAGUGUAAAACCCUUUUAUGAGGGAAGAACGAAAUGCGGUUAAUAUCUGUAUUUCUUGACGGUACCUCAUGAAUAAGCCCCGGCUAACUCCGUGCCAGCAGCCGCGGUAACACGGAGGGGGCAAGCGUUGUUCGGAAUUACUGGGCGUAAAGGGCGUGUAGGCGGCCUAGCAGGUCAGAUGUGAAAUCCCCGGGCUCAACUCGGGAACUGCGUUUGAAACCGUUAGGCUUGAGGCUAGGAGAGGAAAGCGGAAUCCCUGGUGUAGCGGUGAAAUGCGUAGAUAUCAGGAGGAACACCGGUGGCGAAAGCGGCUUUCUGGACUAGUUCUGACGCUGAGGCGCGAAAGCGUGGGGAGCGACCGGGAUUAGAUACCCCGGUAGUCCACGCUGUAAACGAUGAGCACUAGGUGUAGCGGGUAUCGACCCCUGCUGUGCCGCAGCUAACGCAAUAAG